UACAGAGGGUGCGAGCGUUGUCCGGAUUUAUUGGGCGUAAAGAGCUCGUAGGCGGUUGGGCAAGUCACGUGUGAAAUCUCCACGCUCAACGUGGAGGCGCCACGUGAGACUGCCCUGACUCGAGUCCGGUAGGGGAGCGUGGAAUUCCCGGUGUAGCGGUGAAAUGCGCAGAGAUCGGGAGGAACACCCGUAGCGAAGGCGGCGCUCUGGGCCGGUACUGACGCUGAGGCGCGAAAGCGUGGGGAGCAAACAGG
rnacentral:rRNA from 1 species